rnacentral:misc_RNA from 1 species
GCUUUUGAAGUAUAGGCCAGAGGAUAAAACACAGAAAAGGGAGCGUCUUUUGAAAAGAGCCCAGGAAGAGGCCGAAGGCAAAUCACAUGAUGCCAAAAAGCCUAUCGUUGUUAAAUAUGGUCUCAACCAUGUUACCUAUCUCAUCGAGCAGAACAAGGCACAACUGGUUGUGAUUGCACACGAUGUGGAUCCAAUUGAGUUGGUUGUAUGGCUCCCAGCUCUGUGCAGGAAGAUGGAAAUUCCAUAUUGCAUUGUGAAGGGAAAA